AUGGUGAUCUUUUCUAAAAACGAUAGGACAGGUGUGGAGGAGAAUGAAGCAAGAGAAUGGGUUCCUAAGGUGGUCAAGAAAAAUCCAGCUGAGUUUCUUAUCCUGUAGUUAACGAUGUAAAUAUGCUGUUUCCACACAUCCAUGAAAAUGAGUAAAAUAUAUAUUUUUCUGCUCUAAUAACAGUCUGUGAGCUUAUCUGAAGAUGAUGGGACAGAUGACUGGAUACCCACACAGGAUGAAUCUGAAGGCUAUUCAGAAGAGGAGGAAGAACAAGAACAUAAAAGGAUUCCUAAGAUGCUGGCAGCAUCUGAAGAGGAUGGGACACAUGAUAGUAGACCCACACAGGAUGAAUCUAAAGAUGAUUCAAAAGAUGAAGCAGAACAUUUGGGACAAAUGAUUCACAAAGUGGCCAUGGAAAAGGGGGCGUUUGUGAGCAGUGAGUUGCCGCAGAGGACAGAGGAACAGCAACAGGUUGCUGGCAUCUCUAAGACUCAAAGGCAUCACAAUGUCAGAAAUAGACACAAGUGUCCCAUAUGUGGACAUGUAUAUGCUGAUAUUGUUCAGCACCUAAGAGUCACAGAGAAAGUGGUAAAUGAAAUUGAGCUGCUUCUUUUGAGCCAAUUUUCUCAUCGGCACUUUUCUGCAAAUCUGGACUGUCCAGUCCGCUUAUGUCAGUCAAAACAUCUUAAUCGGCUUGAUAAGCACCUGGAAAAGGUCCACAAAUUACAGAAACCUAUGAUUAAACUUUACAUGCAAAAGGCCAAGGACAGAUGCGUUGCUAAGGAACUUGCACUUCUGAGGGCAUCAAAUCCCACACUGCAAAUGGUCUCACAUGUGGGUGAAGUGGAUUAUACAGUGAUUGAGGAGGGCAUCUUUAGGGCACUGGAGGCAAGGUCCAAGGUUGCAUCCCCUAUAGCCUCUUCCAGCAACGCUCCCAGUGACCAUGCUACCCUGAACCAUUGGCCUGCUCCUCCCUCUGACAGCAAGGCUCUGGGUGACUCUACCAGACCAAACCUACAGCCUCCUCUCUCUACCCGUGACCCUCUCAGUGACCACACCAUCCCAAUUAUGCAGCCUCCUUCUAUCUCCACCAGCAAGAUUACUUGUGAUUCAACAGUGGUGUCCCCUGAUUUGUUAAUCCCUUACUAUGCAGCAAAGCAAAGGAGGGAAUGUCUUCUCCCGAGGACACCUGCUCCUGGUUGCAAAAACUGUCAGAUACUGUUCACUGAGCUACAGGUGGUGAAGCAGUUGCUAGAGUGUGAAAUUGAAAGGAAUCAUGAGCUCAAGCAGAUACAUUCUUCAACCAAGCAUCCAAAUGUUAAAUAUAGCAGACGUAAACGGUUUUCACCCAGCAAAGCCCCUCACUAUGUAAGACUGGUGGAAGAAUUUAGGGCCCAUGCAGAAGGUGUGAACCCUAGCAUAGAACUACAUGAAAAUGCAAGGCAGCGAGCCACUCAUGUCAUCCGGUUUCUGGAAUUCAUGGCAGACCCAGCAAUUCCAAACGUUGACCUUCUGUUUCUGAGGAACCAUGGAAAAGUCCGUGAUUUUCUAGCACACCUGCAAGCAAAAGGGUUUAAACCAACAACUCAGAGAGCUUAUCUCAUGGAUGCUAUUGCUUUCAUGAAAUAUAUAUUAAACAUGUCACCACCACAAGUCAGACUUGGAAAUAAAAGGAUCAACGCCCUUUUGGUCGAACUGAGGGCACGUAACAGAGAUGUUGGCCGUGAAGUAGUCGUGCACCAGCUGAAUGUGCGGAGAUCUAAGUCUAAAAGACUUGUCAAAGCAGAAAAACAUGCUUUGUUCAUUGAAGAGGCUCCCCAGAAGAUUGCUGCCGCACUGGAUGACCUCGAGAAGCAACCCCAGAACAGAACAAUAUUGAAAUUGUUUUUUGGACUGUUGGGUGGAUACCUCAUUGCCAUAACUGGCCACCGAAAGGGAGUGGUCAUCAACAUGACUACUGAGGAGGUUGAAAUGGCAGAAAAAACUAAGCAGGGUGCCCGCAUCAUCCGUGUUAAACAGCACAAAACUCAAAGAUACCAUGGGGAAGCAGCUGUCCCCCUGUACAAGAAUGAGUAUACCUGGUUGCAGCGUUACAAUCAUAUUAGAGAGUAUAUUGAAGGGGGUUCGGAGGCAUCAACUUUUUUCCACAGUUCCAGUGGAGGUGUUCUUCAUAGACUACUGGAAUUUUUCAAGGCAGCCUGGGAGAUGAUGAAUCUGGGGAUUGCCCCCACCUUCAACAUGAUACGUUCCUCCUGUAGCACUUACGCCAAGCGACAGUUGGGACGUAAAUCUUAUGACAGAGUGGCAACGUUUAUGUGCCAUGAUGCCAUCACAGCCAAAAGAUUUUACCAAGCUGAGGACCCUGCAGAGGACACACUCCAGAGCCGAGCACUGACCACCCAUGCAAUUGCAACAUAUGCAGCAAAGAAAAGGAAAAGGACAGAGGACAGAGGAUCUGUGCAGGACAAGGACAGUGAAGGAUCUGACAAGGAAGAGCAGCAGUCAUCAGGAACAGAGGAGCUUUUAGACAGAAGGCUCUUCCAGUGUAACAGUAACAAGAUGGUCAUCUUUUACAAAAAUGAUAGGACAGGUGUGGGGAAACUCACACAAGAAGACAAUCCACAAGAGGAGGAGGAGGAUGAAGCGAGAGAAUGGGUUCCUAAGCAGUCUGUUAGCUCAUCUGAAGAUGAUGGGACAGAUGACUGGACACCCACACAGGAUGAAUCUGAAGGCUAUUCAGAAGAGGAGGAAGAACAAGAACAUAAAAGGAUUCCUAAGGUAGCCAAGAAAAACAAAACUGGGUGUCCUGUGCCACAAAGAGAGAUGGCAGCAGCAUCUGAAGAGGAUGGGACACAUGAUAGCAGACCCACACAGGAUGAUUCAAAGGAUGAAGCAGAACAUUUGGGACAAAUGAUUCACAAAGUGUCCAUGGAAAAGGACAGGGAAACGGCGAUAAGCUUAUUACCAGUACAACACCAAAUUCCAGUUGUUACUCUGAAUUCAGUCACUCUCAAGACACCCAUGAAGGACAAGGUCGCACUGGAGGUCCCUCCUGGUAUGCAGCAGGCCUAUGUAAACCAAGACACAGCAAUGACUGUGAAUAAGAGUUCAGAAAAAAGUGUGAUUCACCAAACCAGUUACUUGAAGAGGCUCAUUUUUCAUCAGUCAACUCUCUUUGAAGACACCAUACCAAGAUCUGAUAACAACAAGAAAGACCAAAGUGGAAUGUCAUCUGCAGCAAUAAUAACCUCAGAACAACUGGAAGAGAAAGAGAUACAAGAAGAAUCUCUGGAGAAGAUGAAGUGUGAAGACAAAGGAGGGAAGAGAAAAGAAAAAGUACAGCAGGAGCCUCUGGAGAAGAUGAGGGGCAAAAGGCAAAGGAAGGAAGAAAAGAUACAGGCAGAGCCUCUGGAGAAGAUGAAGAGUGAAGCCAAAGUAGGAAAGAGAAAAGAAAAAGUACAGCAGGAGCCUCUGGAGAAGAUGAGGAGCAAAAGGCAAAGGAAGGAAGAAAAGAUACAGGCAGAGCCUCUGGAGAAGAGAAUUAAGAUUAUGAAAUAAAAGAAGGAAAAAUCCACAGAGUUCUCAAAGAAAUGGCGAGAGAAAGUCUCAGAAAAUAAGGUGCAUGAAAGAGUUGUUAAUUAAAAGUGAUCAUCUAAUGAGUUACUGUCAUGUUUAUUUUCUGGAAUCACUGGUGCUCUCAGACUUGACAUUAUAUAAUUCCACCAUAUGUGAGAUCAGUCAAAUUAAGAAAGGAAUCAAAAUAGCUAUACCAAUGGCUGCAGAAAAGUGACAGUGGUCAAACAACAUCAUUGAGCAUGACAAAACACUUUUGAAGACAGCAGUCUCCAGAUACCUCAUCAUUGAAGACAAAUGACACACAUCUAUUGUGGAGAAAAUUCGGUUCAAAUCAAUUUUAUUUAUAUAGCGGCAAAUCACCACAACAUUCGCCUCAAGGCACUUUAUAUUGUAAGGUAGACCCUACAAUAAUACAUACAGAUAUAAACCCAACAAUCAUAUGACCCCCUAUGAGCAAGCACUUUGGCGACAGUGGGAAGGAAAAACUCCCUUUUGACAGGAAGAAACCUCCAGCUGAACCAGGCUCAGGGAGGGGCGGGGCCAUCUUCUGCGACCGGUUGGGCUGAGAGAAGGAAGACAGGAUAAAGACAGAAGAGAGACAGAGAUUAAUAACAGAUAUGAUUCAAUGCAGAGAGGUCUAUUAAUACAUGGUUAGUGAGAAAGGUGACUGAAGAAGAAAUGCUCAAUACAUCAUUGGAAUCCCCCAGCAGCCUACACCUACAGCAGCAUGACUAAGGGAGGAUUCAGGGUCACCUGAUCCAGUCUUAACUAUAUACUUUAGCAAAAUGGAAAGUUUUAA
ensembl:lncRNA